rnacentral:rRNA from 1 species
UACAGAGGGUGCGAGCGUUAAUCGGAAUUACUGGGCGUAAAGCGUGCGUAGACGGUUAUUUAAAUCGGGUGUGAAAGCCCCGGGCUCAACCUGGGAAUUGCAUUCGAGACUGAAUAGCUAGGGUACGGUAGAGGGGGAUGGAAUUCCGCGUGUAGCAGUGAAAUGCGUAGAUAUGCGGAGGAACACCGAUGGCGAAGGCAAUCCCCUGGACCUGUACUGACGCUCAUGCACGAAAGCGUGGGGAGCAAACAGG